UUCGAGGAAUCUUCUGGCUCUCCUUAAGCAUGAUGAUUCAGUUACUAAGGCUUGGCAGGCUCUGUUUUCAUGUAGGGACGUACGUACAGUUUAUGCAACUAUCCAAAAAGUAGUACUCGACCGGUCCUCCAUUCCCCAUCUAUUUUCCAGAUUUACUCGUGCUCUUGUCGUCGGCAGAGCUACUCAUUUUCCCCCGUGCCGGCCAUCUUCCCAAGGUGCGGCGAGAGCUCCGGCGUGCCACCUCUUGUCGCAAAACUACCAGCCAACUCCACCCGGCCGCCGGGAGGCCUGCGGUAGAACCUCUACACCGCGUCGCCGACGCGCAGGUACAGUACACCGUCGUCGUGCGCUGUCGCCGUCACCACCGAGCCUUCUACACCGCGCCGCCACGCGCAGGUACAGUACGCAGGGCACAAUGGUUCUGGAAAGCUCACUCGAGAUCUCGUCGGUCAGUUCGUCUUGCCUGCUCUUCUCAUUCACGCAGUAAUCCAUUCAGUUUUAAUUGGUUUUGAUCUUGCUGACGCCUGACCUUGCAUGUCUGUUUCAGAUCGGCCUUCAGGAUUCAGGAUCCAAAGCAGACGACGAGGUGAGCGUUGGAUAUGAUGGCCACGGCAACGAUGAAUAGCAAGCCAUUGCCGGCGGGGAUGGGAAUGAAGUGAUUUUGUUGUUUGUUCCUCCUGAGGUUGCUCCGGGCUUUGUGGUCGAGGAGGAGCAUGUGGCGGAGAGCAUGGGCGCCGGUGGCGUCGGCCUUGCAAUCGGGCUGGUUCAGCUCGAGGACAGCGACUCUUCUUCAGAUGCAGGGUACCAAGACGUCGACGAGGGCGACGACGAGGUGCUAAGCCACCGGCGUCGUUUUGGCGACGACGGCGUCCGCAACCUCAUGCAGGAACGGGGCUGCGCUCGUCUAGUUUGACUCAGCUUCGGCCGUCCCGGAAGCCGGAACAAACUAUUGUCAGUUAGUAGUUAGUCGUCAGUUAGCAUUUCAAGGUGAGAUUAACAAAUGCAGACGAUGUUUCUUAGUUCUGUUGUUCCUCUAGAUUCAGUAACUGGCUUGGACAGCAGUUUAGAGUACAGUUGUUUGUUUUGGGAUCCAUUUAGUUCGAUGAAAACUACCAACCAAUGAUUCUUGUACUCCCUUCCUGUGUCAUGUAAGCUGUUCCAAUGUCAUGUGAAUGAGUUUUAUCAAUGAAAAUGGUGUGUGUUGGGCA